UGGGGAAUAUUGGACAAUGGGCGCAAGCCUGAUCCAGCCAUGCCGCGUGAGUGACGAAGGUCUUCGGAUUGUAAAGCUCUUUUACCAGGGACGAUAAUGACGGUACCUGGAGAAUAAGCCCCGGCUAACUUCGUGCCAGCAGCCGCGGUAAUACGAAGGGGGCUAGCGUUGUUCGGAAUUACUGGGCGUAAAGCGCACGUAGGCGGAUUUGUAAGUCAGGGGUGAAAUCCCGGGGCUCAACCUCGGAACUGCCUUUGAUACUGCAAGUCUCGAGUCCGAUAGAGGUGAGUGGAAUUCCUAGUGUAGAGGUGAAAUUCGUAGAUAUUAGGAAGAACACCAGUGGCGAAGGCGGCUCACUGGAUCGGUACUGACGCUGAGGUGCGAAAGCGUGGGGAGCAAACAGGAUUAGAUACCCCAGUAGUCCCUGAGCGGGCUGGCAAGGCGCAU
rnacentral:rRNA from 1 species